rnacentral:rRNA from 1 species
UACGUAGGGUGCAAGCGUUAUCCGGAAUUAUUGGGCGUAAAGAGCUCGUAGGCGGUUUGUCGCGUCUGCUGUGAAAACCGGAGGCUCAACCUCCGGCCUGCAGUGGGUACGGGCAGACUAGAGUGCGGUAGGGGAGAUUGGAAUUCCUGGUGUAGCGGUGGAAUGCGCAGAUAUCAGGAGGAACACCGAUGGCGAAGGCAGAUCUCUGGGCCGUAACUGACGCUGAGACGCGAAAGCGUGGGGAGCAAACAGG